rnacentral:rRNA from 1 species
GAUGAACGCUAGCGGCAGGCUUAACACAUGCAAGUCGAGGGGCAGCAUGAGACGGAGAUUCGUCGAAGUCUUGAUGGCGACCGGCGCAAGGGUGCGUAACGCGUGAGCAACUUGCCCGUUUCUGGGGAAUAACCGGUGGAAACGCCGACUAAUACCCCAUAGUAUUGACUUUGGGCAUCCUUAGUCAAUUAAAGAAUUUCGGAAACGGAUAGGCUCGCGUGACAUUAGCUAGAUGGCGGGGUAACGGCCCACCAUGGCAACGAUGUCUAGGGGUUCUGAGAGGAAGGUCCCCCCGACACUGGAACUGAGACACGGUCCAGACUCCUACGGGAGGCAGCAGUGAGGAAUAUUGGUCAAUGGUCUAACGACUGAACCAGCCAUGCCGCGUGAAGGUCACGGCCCUAUGGGUCUUAAACUUCUUUUGUAAGGGAGCAAUAAGUCUCACGUGUGGGAUGA